AUGGUUUGGUGGCGAUAGCGAAGAGGUCACACCCGUUCCCAUGCCGAACACGGAAGUUAAGCUCUUCAGCGCCGAUGGUAGUCGGGGGUUUCCCCCUGUGAGAGUAGGACGCCGCCAAGCUAU
rnacentral:rRNA from 1 species